CCUAAGUCAGACUUUCUCCAAGAAAAAAAAAAAAAACUCUAAGGAGAACCUAUUUUUCAUUCUUCUAAGUAGUUAAAAUUUGAAAUCACAGCAAGUCAAUAGGAAGCUCUCCUCUGCCAGUCUCCUAAAUCACAAUAUGGCCUUGGAGAUCAAAGUACUCCAAAAAUGCAGCUGCUUCAGUGACAAGAGGGAAUUACCUCCUCCCAAGCCUCAGGAUCCCGGUACCCGAUUUGCCUACCCCAGGCUCACUCCCAUUCACACAGUCCUUCAUGGCAGUGUCCAGCUUCACCAGGUCAAAGCUACCUAGAUGUCCUCAUACAAAUUACAAGCUAUGAUGUCCACCUCAUUCUCUUUCUGGAAGGCUGACCUUAACUGUCCUGCACAUUCCUGACAGAGCAUAUUUGCCCUUUUCCUAUACUAAUAAGCCCUAAAUCUUGUGGGUAACAGCCUGGGGAACUACCUGUCUUGCUACCACUCAAGACCAUGCUUCUGUCCACAAAUUCCCCC
rnacentral:lncRNA from 1 species